rnacentral:lncRNA from 1 species
UAACGUUGACAAGAGAUGGUGUCAUAUUGCGCACAUUUUUGGAAUAUUGACGGAUUCCAGGUUAAUCAAUAUAUUUAUCAUUGUUAAAAAUAGUGAAGGGGAAGAUCAAUCGGCCAAAAUAACCAUGAGCGGCUACGAUAUUGUAGGUUUCUUCCUCUGGGAAAAAAAAAAUUUUAAUUCUAGUUCCAGUGAAUCCACCUUCUUUUCUAAUAGCACGCCGGUUACGUAGCACUAUCAAGCUUUUUGUUUUUGCAGUUUUAUUUUUGUUAUUGCUGGCAUGCUGGAUUGUGCUGUAAAUGCUCUAAUCAUGUGUGAUGUAGGAUAUGGAUCAGGAGAGUAAGGAUUACUACUUUUCUGGCCCUGGGGAGUUCGGCCUCAACCCUAUCAGGACUGGGUCAUCACAAGGAGGUGGCUUUUCCCAGAAGAGCCGCCCUUUUUACUUUCGACGAUUCUGUUCCUAAACACCACUCCCAGCCUUCAAUUCAGGAUACUCACCGCAAAGGUACAAGGAUAGCUCAGAACCUUCAUUUGACACCUUCUCUAGGUUUGAUUCGUUCAGAAGCAUACAAGAUACUGGAUUUUUUCGUCAACCAGAAACACUCGGAAGAUUUGAUUCUAUGCGCGGCAGUAGAGAUUUUGAUCAGGGUCAUGGUUUUCCAACAUGAUCCGGACCUUUAAAAUUUUAAAGACCCGAAUCAUUUGAUCCUUGGAUUCUGAAUGUUUAGGUCCGGAGAGGAUCUCUUCCCCUUAUUUGUUAGUCCAAGCCUUGCCUAUUUGUCAGUCUUUUCUCUUGGACAGACAAGUGAGCUAUCAAAGUACAAAUUCGGCAUUCAUUAUACUUUCUUUUUAAUACAGCAUUCAUUACUUGUAUCCCCGGGAAGCUCAGAAAACUCACAAAGAGAUGUGCAUUCAUCCAGACUUUCAGCUUACACAUGUAAACCACUGUAUUGUAAAUUUAAGUAUUUAAUAUUUCUUGCCAUCUCUGGAAGAUACUUGAGACUGGUGCAGCCUCCAAGAUCAAGAAGAGUGAGCUUGUCAAGAUGUUGAAAAUACCCAGGAAUUUCAACCAAACUUACACAGCCACGGAGAUUUAUGUUCACAAUUUUUAGACUCCCAGAGAGAUUUGGAACUUCAGUUAGAUAUCUAGAGUCAUGCAUAUCGAUCACUUGUAAGUUGACAAGUCUCUGUAUCAAUAGUAAAUAUAAAUAUAAAGAAUUAAUAUAAUUUCAACACUUGAUUUGAUACAAGAAUUAAAAUAGGCAUAGAAUAUAAUAUACCUGCUCUUCUUUCCAAAGCUUCUUAACUUGGCUACCUGGCAUAUGAAGCUCAACUAGAUUGUCCGGAGAAAAAUUUGACGGCAAAGAUUCCAGUGGAUAUUGAAACCAAUCAAGAUAACGAAGAGAAUCGGGAAGGUCUAGAGAAGCGUUGAAUUUGUAGCCACCAUCCACAAUUAGCAUUAUUAGGUUAGACAUCUUUUUGAAGUCUGCAUGUUUCAAUGCUUGCUCUUCAAUGUAAGGCCAAUAAACCCGUAUGGCUUCAACAUUUGGAGUUUCCUGAGAAUAAGAAAAAAGUUUAAAUGUGAAUAUAAACAUAUUAAAAUGUAACGCAGAUUUGGAACAAAGAGUAUUUGUGAUGGUAAUCAUGUACAAGGUGUCUUAGUCUAGUCAAAUAUCCAACAUAAUUGUAUCCUCCUCUACUUGUCUAAAUAAACAAACAUUUGUUCAUAUUCCAAACACUUCCUAACACAAUAAAUAUUCAAUCAAAUUCAUCUUUUAACAAUCUCACUUCUUUAUUAUAAAUUAGUUUUACUUUGUUGUGUUAUCAUCUCAAGUUUGUAAAUUUUAUUUUCUAAAAAAAAGAAAAGAAAAAAAUUGAAUGCAUUUGGCUCUUACCGUGUUACUCCUCAAUACACGACAGACAUCCUCAUCAUUGAACAACCUACUCCGUUUACCGGGAUCUUUCAUACCUUGUUUUUGAACAAUUUUCCUUCCCAUUUCUUGUAGCAAAUCGUGCAUCUCUAUGGUUUCCCUUCCCCCUUUUGAAUCAAUUGAUAUGAGAGACAUCUCAAUGAGAAUUCUAAUUCCAGAUGUCGCAAACAAUCCACGAACAACUAACAUUCGUUUUACCUCAACCAGAGACUUCCCUUUAUGAAAACAUGCUAUAUCCAGAAAUAUCUCCUUCUCAUUUUCUCUCAAUCUAUCAAAACUUAUUCUCAACACUUUCUGAAUAUCUUCACUGGGAUAUCGUUUCAAUUUGUUAAAUUCAUCUUCCCAUUCUUCUUUGCUCUUGCAAUUGAAGAACAAGGACCCCAGAACUGUAAGAGCUAAAGGAAUGCCUUUGGCAUAAGCCACCGCCUUUUCUGCCAAGUCUUUAUAAUCUGUUCUACGAGUACUAUUAUCCUUGAAAGCACGCAAAUAGAAGAGCUGAAGAGCGUCAUCCGAUUUUAAUCCCUCAACAUAGUAGAUCUUAGCCUCGUCAACAAUUUUCCCAAGUGUGCCCCUAUCUCUACUUGUGAUAAUGAUUCUACUUCCACUGCCAUACCGGAGAUGAUCGCCAACUAAACGUUCCAUUUGCCAUGAAUCACCCACGUCAUCUAGAACAAUGAGGACCUUUGUACGACUGAGCCUUUCUUGAAAAGUUGAUCCUACGGGCAAAAAAACUUCUUCCUUUAAUAUCUCCUUAAAAAGUGUUUUUUCCAAGUGAUCUAGUCCACCUGCUUGUUCUGAGUUCUCCCUAACAUUCUUAAGAAAACAACAGGCUUCAAAUUUAGAAGAGAGUCUGUGAAAUACGGCUUCAGCAAGGGUGGUCUUGCCAAUACGGCCCAUGCCCCAAAUACCUACAGAUAAGCAAGUGUCCUGUGAAUGAAUGUAUAAUAGUGAUUCGAUCUGCUCGAUGCAGCUUUCAAUUCCAACAAAGCCCUUUAAAGAGAAAGAACCGAGAGAGCUGGAAGGCAAUUUUUUAAAUUCCGGACAGGCAUACAAGUCGAGACUUGUUAGGACAUCCUUAAGGUGCUUGCAGCCACUAAGGUAUAAAGUUUGAAGCCUAAUUAGAUUUCCAAUAGACAAAGGGAGCCUUUCGACAGCUGUCCCUUGCAAACUAAGAGACACCAAAUGUUCCAUUGGCUCCAAGAUCUCUGGGAAGUUUUCAAGUUCAGAGCAGCCAGAGAGAUUGAGUUCCUCCAGAUAUUUCAACUUACAAAUGUUGGUUGGUAGACUCACAAGUCUCUUGCAAUCAACCAAUGAUAAUUUACUUAUAUCCCUGGGAAGCUCAGAAAACUCGCCAAGAGAAGUGCAGCCAUCUAGAUUAAAACAACCAGAGACUUUCAGCUUACACUUGUUGCUUGGAAGUUUCUCAAGGUCUUUGCAAUGCCAUAUUCUCAACUGAGAAAUAUUUUCGUGAGACCAAACUGAUUCAGGCAACUCCUUUAUACCACUUUCAGGUAAAAAUAAGAAUUCAAUAUUUUUUGGCAUCUCUGGAAGAUACUUGAGACUGGUGCAAAGUCCAACAUCAAGAUGAGUAAGCUUGUCAAGAUGUUGAAAAUAUAAAGGAAUUUCAACCAAACUUCUACAGUUAGAAAGAUUUAUGUGCCUAAUUUUUGGACUCCCAAAGAGAUUUGGGACCUCCAUUAGAUAUAUACAGUCAUGCAGAUCUAUCACUUCUAAGUUCAUAAGUCUCUGUAACAAGAGUAAAGAGAAAUAUCAAGAAUUAAUAAACGUGACUUAAUUUCAUAAAAGAAUUAAAAUAGGCAUAUAAUAUACCUGGUCUUUUUUCCAAAGCUUUUUAACUUGGCUAUAUGGCAUAUGAAGCUCAACUAGAUUUUCCGGAGAAAAAUUGACGGCAAAGAUUCCAGUAGAUAUCCCCACCAGUAAAGAUAACGAAGAGAAUUGGGAAGGUUUAGAGAAGUUGUGAUUUUGCGGGGAUGGCCAGGAUAGUAAUCAACAAUUAGCAAUUUUAGGUUAGACAUCACUUUGAAGUCUGCACAUUCAAAUGGUUGCUCUGUACACCGAGACCAAUUAAACUUUAUGGCUCGAACAUUUGGAGUCUCCUGACAAUGAGAGCAAAGUUUAAAUGUGAAUAUAUAUAAAUAUAUAUAUAUAUAUGUAUUUAUAUUGAACAUGUUAAAAUGUAAUGCACAUUUGGAAAAAGAAUUCUAAAAAGUUAUAGAAUAAUCUAAAAGUGUUUGAAAAAGAGCAGUGUGUAUAUAUCGAUUUACAUAGCUUUACAUGAGAGAGUUGUACAAGUAAUGAACUCUUACAAAAUAAUUAAGAAUAUCUGAAAGAUUAUUAUCCUAACGAGUUUCAGAUUUCAAAUUCCAAUGGGCAUCAAGAUUAGAUGCUGCAGUAGAUGCUUUAUCAUAAUCUUAAGAGUAUUUGCGAUGGUAAUGAUGUAAAAGUGUCUAGUUAAAUAUCCAAGAUAAUUGUAACAAAAUAAUAUAAAUGAGUUUUACUUUGGUGUGUUAUAAUCUAAAGUUUGCUAUUUGUUUUUUUCUUAAAAAUAGAAAAGAAAAAAAAUUCAAUGCAUUUGGCUCUUACCGUGUUACUUUUCAAUACAUGACAAACAUCCUCAUCGUUGAACAACCUACUACGUUUACCGGGAUCUUCAAUACCUUGUCCCAGAACAAUUGUCCUUCCCAUUUCUUCAAGCAGAUCAUGCAUCUCUAUAGUUUCUCGUCCCCAUUUUGAAUGAACUGAUAUGAGAGACAUAUCAAUGAGAACUUUAAUUCUGGCUGCCACAGAGCGUGAACGGAUAGCUAAUCUUUUUUUUACCUCAUUCACAUUCAUCCCUUUAUGAAAACAUGCUAUAUCCAAAAAUAUCUCCUUCUCAAUACUUCCCAAUCGAUCAUAACUUAGUUUCAACACUCUUUGAACACCUUCAUUGGGACCUUCUUCCAAUUUGUCCAAUUCAUCUUUCCAGUCUUCCAUGCUCUUGCAACAUAGGAAUGAGGACUCCAGAAGCUUAAGAGCUAAAGGAACGCCUCUGGCGUAAUAAACCGCCUUUUCUGCCAACUCCUUAAAAUCUGUUCCGGGAGUACUGUUAUUUUUGAAAGCACGCAAAUAGAAGAACUGAAGAGCGUCAUCUGGUUUUAAUCCCUCAACCUCGUAGAUCUUACCUUCUUCAACAGUAAGUGUUCUCCUAUCUCUACUUGUGAUAAUGAUUCUACUUCCAGUGCCAAACCGAAGACUAUUCCCAGCUAAACGUUCUAUUUGCUUUGAAUCACUCACAUCAUCUAGAACAAUGAGGACCUUUGUACGACCGAGCCAUCUACGAACAACUUUUGAUUCUGUGGGCAGAACUUCUUCCUUUAAUAUCUCCUUAAGAAGUGUUUUUUCCAAGUGAUCUAGCCCUUCGUUUUGUUCUCUCUCCGUCACAUUUCUAAGAAAACAAGAACCUUCGAAUUCAGAAGAGAGUCUGUGAAAUACAGUUUCAGCAAGGGUGGUCUUGCCAAUACCGCCCAUGCCCCAUAUACCUACAGUGAUGCAAUCGUCUGGUGAAUCAAUGCCUAAUAGCAAUUCGAUCUGCUCGAUGCGGCUUUUAAUUCCAACAAGGCCCUUUAAAUCGCAGGAUGAUUGGCAACACAAUUUAGUCCAAAUAUCCUUCACAACAUUCUUUACUAAUUUGGCAUCCGUCCUGGCAUAUAUAUGUACAUAUGAUUAUGAAGGAAAGCAAUAGUUAAUCUUAGAUAUACCUUACAAAAUCUUAGCAGAAAUCAAAUCGUCAUAAGUUUAAAGAAAAUUUAAAAUUUUGUACGCGUUAAUUAAAGAGUUAGUUUGUUACCCAGCAUUUUUUGGAUGAGGAAACCCAGAUCUUUUGGCUGCCUUCGUCAAAGCCUCUUUCCACUCUUUCACCUUGUCGAUACUUUGGUGUUGAGCCAAUGCAGCCGCAUAACUCCCCUGUUGUUCUCGUACAUCCGAUGCAUUGGUGUGGUAAAAAAUGGGUAUCACGAAAUCGCCUCGUCUUUUUUCGUUGCAUUCGAUUAUACGCACAAGCUCAUCCAAACACCAUGCGGAAGUAGCAUAGUUUUGUGAGAAAAUGAUCACCCAAAACUUGGAUUUCUCGAUUGCCUUCAGAAGAGCAGGUCCGAUUUCUUCUCCUCUCUGAAGUCUGUUAUCUAUGUACGUAUCAAUUUUCCUCCGAACUAAGGCUUCAUGAAGAUGGCAGGUAAAAGUAUUACGGGUAUCCUUUCCUCUGAAGCUGAUAAACACAUCAUAUUUUUCUAGACUUGGGGGGAUAUCAGCAUCAUCAUCAUCAUCAGCUACAGCAGAAUCAGCUCCAACAGAAUCAGCCGCAGAAGACGAGGAAGAAAAUGUUAAUGAUCUGCAGCACAUGUAAAACAGAGUCCCGAUGGCGAUGACGAUGAUGUUGAAAACUAGAACAAACCCAAUCAACUCCAUCCCUCUUAUCUCUAUCAACCGAGCCGCCAGGUUUGAGAAUAAGGUGGGAUCCCUGAAUGUAGUGGCCGGUGAAUCACUGAUCAAAGAACGAGCAGCCGCCAGGUUUAAUGAUUUGGUGGGAUCCACAGAUGUAGUGGCUGGUGAACCGCUUCUUCUUCUUCCGCGAAGAUUCAGACAACCGAGCUUGGAUGGAACUGAACAAGAUUUGGCGAACGAAUACAAAGGACCGAGUGGUAAAGCCAUGAUCCGCAGGGGAACGGAUCACUCAUUCUUCCAUUGGGGACAGGUGCACGAACGACAACUAGAUCUGUUAUACAGGCGAUUUAGCUACUUUCUUUCAACCCUGGUAUUAGGUGAGGGGAUACACGCAGAACCGUCAGAGAGAUCAGAGUUUACCAAAGAAAAAUGGGAAAAAUGUAUGAAAACUUUAGUUUUAACAGUAAAGAAAAAAUAAAGGAUAAAAUGAAUAGUAUUAGGAUUGAUUUUUUAAGGUAAAAAUAUAAUUUUUCGUUAAAAUAAAUAAUACCGAAAAUUUUUCGUUAAAGUUUUUUAUAAAAUUUGAAAUUGUAGUUCUUAUUAGGUAUGUGCACAAAAUUACAAAGGCACUGGGGAGGACAAAAAUUGAAAAAUUGGAGAGAAGGAUUAGUCACUUUUACAUACUUAAAAAAUAUUUGAUAAUCGAUACUGCUACUACUUUAAAAUUUUCUUUUAAAUACAAUUAAUCAAAAGAAAAGUUUGCCCACAAGCAUAUUUGUAAGGAACUGAAUCCUCUCGUGCGCUUAGGAUGGGAAUCCUUCUGAGUAGUUCAUCAGAGCCGUUCAAACUUGAUCCAAUGACUUUAAAUAUAGAACUUCUCUAAAAGUUAUAAUAAUUGAAGCUGUUGGAUCAAAUUUAAACUGUCUUGAUGGGCUGCUUAAGAAGAUCUCCAUCAUGAGCUUAGGAGAGGAUCCGGUUUCUUUUUUUUGUAAAACAUCUUUCGGUAAAAUAUACGCACUUUCCAAGAAAAUCAUCAAAGAGUAAACAAGAAAAAAAACAUGAAAGAUAUAAAGACGAAAUUGCACAUAAACUAUGUGCAUUCAAACAGAAGAAAAGGUUAUAAUAUAAUCCCUAGUGAAGGACUUAGGUACCGUUUGGUACGUGAGACGGGACGGAAUAGAGUGGGACGAGGCGUUCCGUUUCACGUUUGGUGCACCUAAAACGGGUGGAACGCGCUGUUCCACGGGACGAAUUUUGGGUGAAUUUUCAUUCCGCCUCACCCCCUAAAACGACUCGUUCCACAUCCGUGGAACGCAAAAUUAUAACCUCUCCGUCUCCUUCUUCUUCCUCCUUGUUUCUAUCCGAGGACAUCUUUACUCCUUCUCCGUUCCGUCCUGUACCGUCCCGUCUGCAUACCAAAGGAAGGUGGAAUUGAAUCCAGCUCCUCCUGAUGGAGGAAGUUUCCUAGUGCUAGUGGAGGACACAUGGGAUGGGGCCUUAAUGAAUGUGCAAUAUUCAAAAUCAAUGUUAAAUGGUCAUUAAAGGGCACAUGGGAUGGGGCCUUGCUUUACGCACUUAUUCUUCUUUGACAUGACCAAAUAAGAGAAAAAGCAUUUAUACACAACCGAAAAGUCACUACGAUAGUUAUGAUAAUUCAAUCAUGCACUAUUAAUUAUGUCAUAAAUCCUCAUAGUAAUUAUGCAUAGACUUUUGCACAACUAACAGCUUCAUAGGCCUUUGACUAGAAUUAGAGCCCCUUUUUUUCUUUUCUUUUUUCUUCAAAAACAAAGGUUUAUAUUUUGGAGAGGUUUUUUUCUGUUAAAAGCUGGGAGGGAUUCAGAUAUUGGGGUGCAAUGAGAGUGGGGUGGGGAGGGAUGGGAAAUAGAUUCUCUCUUGAGCAUCUGCUUAGGAUCUUACUAACCCAUACACAAGGGCCGUUAGAUGAAUCCAACGGCUACAAUUAUUUAUAACUUUAAAAAGAUUCUUUAUUUAUAGCUGUUGAAUUUUCAUCUAACGACCCUUGUGUGUGGAUCAGUAGAAUACUCCAUUUCCGGUGGGAUGGGGAAGAGGUUCAAAUUUUUGGAUUAAAAUUUGAAAAAGUGGGCGAUGGUGGGGUGGGGUUCAUUGAUUGCGAGAAGGUGUCAGUUGGGGUAAUAAUAUCAAAUUAUAAAUAAAAUUUUACAAAAUAAAUGAGAUAAAAAUUAAUGAUUAGAUUAUUAUUUAAGAGUUGAUAAACGUAUUUUUAUUAGUAACACAUUAUUUAAUUUACCCAUUUUUUUUACAAAUUUAGCCAUAGGUUUGAGAGAAAGAAGAGACGAAACACUACUCCCAAGCGCGUUUCUUUAUUAUCUUAUACUUGCUCAGCUCACACAUUCACCAUGCAUUUGUUUCCCCACUCCAAGCCUCCCACAACAAAUCAAACCAUUUAUUUGGGAAAAUUUUUAAUAUUUUGUUAUCUCAUCUUUUCUUUAAUUUUAGUAUCUUUGUCCGUACAGUUUGAUACCAAUUUGGCUCGCUUAUAUUUUCAUGAAUAUAGUCAGGACUAGCCCAUGCAUAGUGCGGGUUGGACGACCGUCCGGUGUCCAUAAGAAGUGGGGGCACCAAAAUUAUUAUGAUGGUAUAUUCAUAUAUUUUUUCAUAAGAAUAUACAUAUUUAAAAUUUAUUUAAAUGGUAAAGAAAUUUAACUAGAACUAGUGGAUUUUGUGGUUUGAAAUCUAUGUGCAUGCUUAUUCUUUCAAUUUUUACGAAUUUCUAUUUGGUUGUUAAUUUCUUUUUAAUUACUAGCUAGUAGCUAUAUGGGUUGCAAUUUCUAAACAUUUGUUCAAAUUCAAGUCUAACCUUUCACAAAGAGUAAUGCGUAGACCAAAUUUGCAAAUCAUAUGACGUGUCACCAAUAGUUUUAAAGGAAAACUAAUGAAAAUGGCUAAAAAACUUUGAGUUUUAACGAUAAGGACAAAAUAGAGAUUAAAGUGAAUAGUACCAAAAUUGACUUUUUAGUGUAAAAAUGUGGUUUUUCGUUAAAGUGAACAGUACUGGGAGCUUUUCGUUAAAGUUCCCUAGUUUUAAUUUAAUGCUCAUUCAUUACUUAUACAUAUCAAUAAAGACUACUAAGCCCGCCAAUUUUGACCUUCAGAAGGGAUGGUCGAGGAAGACAACGACGAGGACGAUGACGUGCUUCCUAAAACCUUUUUUCGAUGUAAGCUCAUUGAACCACUACAAGACAAAUUGUCAUUAGCAAUGGUCAAAUGUCAUCGGAAACGAUAUUUUACCAUCGCAAAUACUUAUUUCCAACGGGAAAAAGCUCUCGUUGGGUGUCGAAAGUUGUCUUGUUGGAAAUAAUUUUUUUCAUGCCAGCUAUCGAAAAUACUUUAUUAUCGACGCACAAGACCUGUCGUUAGUGGUUAGUUUUUCGUCAAAAAUGAAUUUUCGAAAUGACAAACUUAUUUUAUGUUUGUCAUGGAAAUAUGGUCGCAAAUACUUAUAUAGUUAUUGAAAUUACUUUCCAAAAGACGACAUAUUUUUUGUGAUGAUGUUGUUCCGACCAAACAAUUGUGUCGGAAAAUCUUUUUCGAACAAAAUAAUCAAUAUUUGUGAGAGUGCACAAUAGUCACAAUUAUAAUCUUUGACCCUUAAAUACUGCUCUAGGCUGUCACAAAUCUUAUUUUAUAUACAAUAGGGUUAUCUUAAAACACCUCAUUGGAAAAAAUAAAAUGAAAGACAUUUCCAAUGGGAAUUGAGGUAAGAAAUAUAUGCUUUCUGGUAAAAAUUCCACUGAGCAUUGUUCAAAAAAUAUUUUGUAUUAUCAUUAAUAAAACAAAUUGUAUAAGAUCAAUGUGGUAAAACCAAUACAUUCAUUACAAACCUAAGAUAUGUGUUUGAACAUAUCUUUAUAUACUAAAACCCAAUCAAGGUGGUACUGUGGAUAAUCAGUGGGCGGACGAUUUUGCCCCUCGAUUUUUCUUCUGUUGACGCAAAUGCCCCUGCUUUUCUCUUUUCUUACCGUUUGUCUCACCCGUUGGCCAUUUUUCUGGUUGACGGAUUUGCCCCAUGGCUUUUUUUAUGGUUUAUGAUUGGUUUUGGUGGUUCUGCAGGGAGAAGGUGGGAAUUGACUGUGCCACGUGUUGGUCAUCGUGUUGCGUUCUUUUAGGGGUUUAUUUUGCUUCGUUUCCGUUUUCUUUCCUUUGUUAUUCCAGUUCCCUCUUCUCUGUCGCUCUCGAUUUAUUUUUCCUUUUGUUCUCCACUAUCUGCUUCCCUUUCGCGCGCUUUGUGUUUUGGUUUUCUCAGCCCUGCUUUUCUCACUUCACAGCUGCUUCCUUCUCUGGACAACUCUGUGGUACGUGAUUUUCUUUCCAUUUUUAUCUUUCUUUAUAGAUUUUUGUGUUAGUUUGUGAAAUGGGUUUUCUUCUGUUGUGUAUUGAGAGAUUGGGUGAUGGGCUCUUAUGGAUUUUAGUGUUUCAAACUCUGAGAGGAGUUACUGCUUGUGGGGAGAGAAGUCUGGGUUUGAGUGAGUUUUCUUCUGUUGUGUACGUUUAGAGAAUUAUUGUUGCCUAAAACUCUAUGAAGGGUUUGCUUUUUUUAUUGUGAACUUAAACAGUCGAAGAAGGUUUAUUUAAUGGUUGAAGAAAUUGACGAUUGUUUGGUCGUCAAAUAUUUCUCCUCUUUUGUUUGUUGAUUUCUUUCUAAUAUUCAAAUAAUUAUUAUUAUGUAAUCCUGAUAGCAUUGUUGCUACAACUCGAAUAGAUAUGUACCAGAGCAUGGGAGAUGCUCUUGCACAGCAGUAUGGUGGCUCUGCAGCUCACAACACUGUAUGUUCUUAUUUUAUUCUUGGGUUAAAGCAUGCAUACAUUAUCAGUUGGUAGAUGUCAUAGAUCAACCCCUAUAUUCUAACGUGAAGUAAAAAAAAAAAAAAACUCUUAACUCUAAUCAGAUGUCCAUUGAAAAGAAAACAAAUCACAUUACAGACCAAUACCUUUUUGCAGUCUUCUUGACAACGACAGCUUAUCUGGGUAUCUUCUGCCAGAGUUCUCGGAGUUGCCAAGCUUAUUAAUGUUGUAUGUUUUCUUACUCGGGAGCAUAAAUUUGUGCCUUAAUUAUGUUUUCAUCCUUUCCUUUCUUGAAUUUUCGUACUGUUGGGAACAAUUUUGUAGACUUUCCUUUUUCUACAACAUAAUUUGAGGGAUGCAAUCUCAUAUCAAGUUUCUUAGCCCUAUAAUCUUAUUUGUUUUGCAGUUAAGUUGACAACAACUUUGGUGGGACUACAAUUCCAGAUUCGUAUAGCAACAUGUCUAAACUGUUCAAGUUGUAAGUGCUGCUUCUGAUUCUAUGUCUUUUAGUAAGUUUAAAGGUAAAAUUGUGUUUUCUAAGGACUACAAUCUCUAUUUAUUCAUACAUCAUAUUUAAAGCUCCAACUGCGGAGGUGUAAAUCCAAUUGAUUUGGGAUUAAUCAUAGCAACAAUAGAGGGAAUCGUAGUUUUUGUUGGGAAACACAUUUCCAACCACUGUGUAGGGAACAUCUUAUGUUUCUAUCUGAUGAUAUAUCACAUUAGGUGAUGGUGCUGGUUGAUUGGAAUGACAAUCGAGAAGUAGCUCUUAAUAUUUAACACGACAAAUCAUGUCAAGAUUGAAUAUCUUUGUGUUUUUGUUGUUUCUUUCAGGAGUUUGAGGAAAUGCAACUUACAAGGGCCUCUUCCUGAUUUCAGUAGGUUUCCAAACCUUGGUUUUGCCAGGUUCAAGUUUAAUUGUGUAAUAAAUGGAGAGAUUGAUCGCCGUCACUCAUAGUUGCGUUUCAGGAAACAAGUUUAUCUCUUGCCAAUUUUGUGUACCCACUUUUUAUUCAUGAUGGUUAGUGUUGAUGCACAAAAUCAGCGAGGACUUUGGUACAACAUAAAGUGUUAAGUUUGAGACCUUCGCUAGAUUGCUCCGGUCACUAGUGUGGAUAAGUAUGUAAAUGGAUAGGGACAGGGUAGCAAACACCAGAUGUACGUGGUUCACCCAGAUUGGCUACGUCCACGGAGUAGAGGAGUUCUCAUUAAUUGUGAAGGGUUUACACAAGUACAUAGGUUCAAGCUCUCCUUUAGUGAGUACUAGUGAAUGAUUUAGUACAAAUGACAUUAGGAAAUAUUGUGGGAGAAUGAUCUCCUUUUAUAGAAGAGAGUUUCUUUCUUUGUUCUGACAUUGACAUGUGUCGUGUUGUGAUUGGCUUCCGAUGUUGACACGUGUCGCGCUAUGAUUGGCUUCUGAUGUCGACACGUGUCGCGCUAUGAUUGGCUUCCUAGUUGGAGGGAAACUCUUAUGGGUCCUUGAUGGUAUAACGUUAACCGGUGCUCGGUAAUUUCAGGAUUGGUCAAGUAUGGUACAAACAGUGUUCCCUUAAGUUCCCGAGUGAGGGAAGCUCCUCGGUUGGGGACUUGCAAGAUCCAAGCCGCUGAGUAAUCACAAAACUUCUAAGUACCAAAGUGUGGUAUCGUCUUCACUUGCCUUAUCUGUCUCAUAAGUAGAUGUGGCAUCUUCUUUGGAAGUACUCUUCCUCCAUCCAGGGGUGGUAUCUUUAACCGGUGGAGAUGCACAAGGUAAUGUAUCAAUUUCACUUGAAGCUUACUUGAAGUUUCAGGCUUGGUCAAGCGCGAUACAAACCAUGUAGUAGGAGUCCCCCAAAUCGCCGAGCUAGGAGAUCUGCCGAAAGAGGUGACAGACAAGGUAAGCAAUCAGAGCUCCAAGCAAUUAGUCCCAGAUCAAAAGUUUGAUUUCGAGUUCCGGCUGAUUGUUCUCAUUCUCCCUAUCUUGCAGGCAGCAUGAAGGAUAAAGAGAAGAAAAAGGAUAAGAGAUGAUAUGAGAUAUUUUUGCUUUCGAAGAAGUAACUUUCCACAGGCUUAUUCUUGAACUAGGCUGAAGGGUUUUCUAGUUUCUUCCAGAGUAUAAGGCCAACUCAAGAAUUUGAGGGUCAAAACAAGUCCAUCAAAUCAAGAGUUCGUUCGACCUUGAUGAUAUGGGAUACUUUUGUUGUUGACAAAGUAGUGAAUGUGGUAUGGCGAUGCUUUGCUCUUUAGCAACGUUGCUAGCGAAAGGCUGUUGAAGUUUCUUGAGCUCUUCGGAUAGGGCAGUGAUGCCGAGCUUAGAUUUGACUUAGACUGCACCGUCUGGAUUAUGCGGUUCUGCAGGGAAGGCGUCGUGCUAUAGUGAUCUGUUUUAGCUCAUCCUUGAACCUUCUGCUUCAAUCUUUUACAACGCAGAAGUGGUGCACAACCUUUGCAUUUGAAUGGUCCUUCAGAGCACUACUUCUUAGCGACUCAUCCAUGCUUGGCAGCUUCAGUGUAAAGAGCUAAUAUCGUAUCAACUGUUCUGAAGUAUUUGCCAAAAGGAUUCGUGACCUUGACAACAGUUGAGGAUGAGUACUCGAGAGCAAUGCUAGGUGAGCAACCAAGCAAAGGUUUCGGGGAAUCAGUUCCAAAUCGGAAGUUUGAUUUCAGGUUCCGACUGAUUGCUUUCUUUCUCCUUGUCUUGCAGGUAAGAGCAAGGGUAAAGGAAAAGACAAGGAAAAAGCAUGAUAUGGGAUACUUUUGCUUUUAACCUUGAUGAUAUGAGAUACUUUUGCUUUGGUAUGGCUUGUUUGCAGAGGUAUUAUCGGGGGAAAGGAAGCUGAGUAUUUCGAGAGGCUUCGUUGGGAGUGCCCUCUCAAGUAUGAGGAAUGGUUGAGCAUUUUUGCAGGUCUGCCUGUCCAUAGAGGGUAGAGGUAGACAUAUAUAGGAGUUUCCUCAACAAUAAGUAGUAAUGUUAUUCCUUUACCCUUCUUUGUCAUAGCAAUGUAGUGGGAGCUGCAAGCUUCACGUGUUUUAACUUUGUCAGAGCAUUUUGAAAAAGUGGUCUGUGGUAUCUGGAAAGCUGAUGUUGCGUGUGAAGAUUGCAGACAAAUUUUAUCCAAGGAAAUCUGGCUCUCGAAGUUCGGAGAGCGGCGCAUUUUCGGUUUUCAAACAAGCAAUCAUGUUGGGGAUCUGGCUCUCAAGAUUCAAAGAGCGUUGCCUCUUCGAUUUUUGAACAAACAAUCCUAUUGGGGAUCUGGCUCUCGAUAUUUAGAGAGCGGUGCCUCUUCGAUUUUUGAGAAAGUGAUCCUGGUAAGAGUUUGGCUCUCGAGAUUCGGAUAGCGGUGCCUUUUCGAUUUUUGAGAAAGUAAUCUUGGUGGGAGUCUGGCUCUUGAGAUUCGGGGAGCGGUGCCUCUUCGAUUUUUUAGAAAGUAAUCCUGUUGGGAGUGUUUUCUCGAUGUGAGUAAAGGUUGGGCAUUUUUGCCAGUCUGCUUUGCCACGGAGCACAGAGGUUGACACACAUAGGGACUUUCCAGUUAUCAAGCAGUGGUGCUAUUCCUUUACCCUUAUGGGUAAUGGUAAGGUAGCUGGACCUUCAAAAUUUAUGUGUCUAAACUUUGUCAGAGAUCUUUGGCAAAGUUAUCUGUGGUACCUGAGGAGCUGAUGUUGCGUGUGGGGAUUGUCGACAUAUUUUAUCAGGAAAAUCUGCUUCUUGAAAUCCGGAGAGUGGUGCUUCUUCGAUUUUUGAACAAACGGCCCUGCUGCCCUUUCUUUUAUAGGGGCACCAAUUGUGUGCAAGAAGUACGUUCAGAAAGUUAUUGCUUGUAGGAAUUUCCCUUUAUUUUCGUACUUCAGAAAUUUAUUGGACCUCAUUUCUCCUUCAUCAUUUCUGAAAAUGCCUGGCCCAUCCGACCGUCGUUUUGACUUGAACUUUGGUAAAGAGGUAGCCAUGCCUCCUCAAGACAAUAUAUGACGCCCAUCCUUCUUAUCCCCUAUUGGUCAUCUUACCGUUGGGGACUCUAUGAUGAAGAAUGAUAUGACCGCUGCGGUGGUGGCCAAAAACCUUCUCACUCCCAAAGAUAACAGACUACUUUCCAAACGGUUUGAUGAGUUGGCUGUUAAGGAUUCUCUGGCUCUCAGUGUUCAGUGUGCAGGUUAUGUGUCUAAUAUGGCCCAACGCCUAUUUGCUCGAACCCGCCAAGUUGAAUCAUUGGCGGCUGAAGGGAUAAGUCUCAAACAGGAUAUUAGAGGGCUCAAGCAUGAGAAUAAACAGUUGCACAUGCUCGCACAUGACUAUGCUACAAACAUGAAGAGGAAGCUUGACCAAAUGCAAGAAUCUGAUGGUCAGAUUUUACUUGAUCAUCAGAGGUUUGUGGGUUUGUUCCAAAGACAUUUAUUACCUUCGUCUUCUGGGGCUGUACCGCGUAAUGAAGCUCCAAAUGAUCAACCUCUGAUGCCUCAUUCUUCUGGGGUUCUGUCCAGUACUGAGGCUCUGAAUGAUCACCCUCCGGUGCCUUUUCUUUCUGGGGCUCUGCCGACUGCUGAGACUCAUCCUGAGCAACCUUUGUGAAGGCUCUAUCUUGUUUGUUUAUUUUGAUUCAUGUAUAAUUACAUAUUUGUAACUUAUCGGAGAUAUCAAUAAAUAAGCUUUGCUUCAUUUCAACGUAUUGUGUUAAAUAUACCAAAGUCUUCUUCACUAAGUUCUUUGAAUUUUUUCUUUUGUUGAAGCUUGUAUGCUGAAGCUUUGUGAGUGAAGCAUGUAGGUUAAGGUAGUGUUCCCUUCAUUUCCCGAGUGAGGAAAACUUCUCAGUUUGAGACUUGAAAAAUCCAAGUCACUGAGUGGUCGUGAGACUUCCGAGUAUCAUGGUGCAGUAGCAUAUGGUAGGAGUCCCCCAAGUCUCUGGUCGAAGGAGUUGACGAACCCGCCAAGUUGAAUCAUUGGCGGCUGAAGUGAUAAGUCUCAAACAGGAGAUUAGAGGGCUCAAGCAUGAGAAUAAACAGUUACACAGGCUCGCACAUGACUAUGCUACAAACAUGAAGAGGAAGCUUGACCAGAUGCAAGAAUCUGAUGGUCAGAUUUUACUUGAUCAUCAGAGGUUUGUGGGUUUGUUCCAAAGGAAUUUAUUGCCUUCGUAUUCUGGGGCUAUACUGCGUAAUGAAGCUCCAAAUGAUCAACCUCCGAUGCCUCAUCCUUCUGGGGUUCUGUCCAGUACUAAGGCUCCGAAUGAUUACCCUCCGGUGCCUUCUCUUUCUAGGGCUCUGCCGACUGCUGAGACUUCUCCUUAGCAACCUUUGUGAAGGCUCCCUCUUGUUUGUUUAUUUUGACUCAUGUAUAUGUACAUAUUUGUAACUUAUCGGAGAUAUCAAUAAAUAAGCUUUGCUUCAUUUCAACGUAUUGUGUUAAAUACACCAAAGCCUUCUUCACUAAGUUCUUUGAAUUUUUUCUUUUGUUGAAGCUUGUAUGUUGAAGCUUUGUGAGUGAAGCAUGUAUGUUGAGGUAGUGCUCCCUUAAUUUCGCAAGUGAGGAAAACUUCUCGGUUGGAGACUUGAAAAAUCCAAGUCACUGAGUGGUCGUGAGACUUCCGAGUAUCAAGGUGCAGUAGCAUAUGGUAGGAGUCCCCCAAGCCUCCGGUCAAGGGAGUUGACGAAUGAGGCAUUUCCUUUCUAAGUGGUAGCCCAAAACUCAUCCUUCAUAUAUAUUUGUUAUGAAAGUUGUUAGGCCCAAAGAAGAGGAGGCCUACACAAGGGUUUCCGAAUAUAUAUAUAUAUAUAUAUAUAUAUUAAGCUUUGUAGGUGAAGCUUUGUUGGGUACCAUGAAUUGAUUUUGCUUCACACUAUCUUGAUCAAGAGUGUGUGAAACUUUUGUAGGUGAAGCUUUUGUGGGUGAAGCUUUUGUGGGUGAAGCUUUUGUAUGUGAAGUUUUUAUGGGUGAAGCUUUUGUAGGUGAAGCUUUUGUUGGUGAAGUUUUUGUGGGUGAAGCUUUUGUGUUGAAGCUUUGUAGGUGAAGCUUUGUAGGUGAAGCUAUUGUGUUGAAGCUGUGUAGGUGAAGCUUUGGAGUUGAAGCUUUGUAGGUGAAGCUUUUGAGUUGAAGCUUUGUAGGUGAAGUUUUGGAGUUGAAGCUUUUGUUGGGUACCAUGAAUUGAUUUUGCUUCACACUAUCUUGAUCAAGAUAGUGUGAAGCUUUUGAGAAUUUGUAGUUGCCCUCCAUUUGUUAAAGCUUUCGUUGGUGAAGCUUUUGUGGUGAAGCUUUGUAGGUGAAGCUUUGUUGGGUACAAUGAAUUGAUUUUGCUUCACACUAUCUUGAUCAAGAUAGUGUGAAGCUUUUGAGAAUUUGUAGUUGCCCUCCAUUUGUUGAAGCUUUUGUUGAAUUUCCCAAUUUCCUUUUUUUUUUGUUUAGAAACUAGAAAUUUGAAAAUGUGGGAGAGACAACAUAUACAAAUUUUGCUUCCACAUUGUUGAGCAAGAGAUUGUGAUGCAAACCACACCUUGUAGUAGUCGAAGGUUUGGAUGAACCAUAUAAAUUGAAUUUGCUUCGAACAGUCUUGAUCAAGAGUGUGUGAAGCUUUCUACGAGUUGUAGUUGCCCUUCAUUGAUGAAACUUUUGUUGGCACCAUAAAUUGGUUUUGCUUCACACUGUCUUGAUCAAGAGUGUGUGAAGCUUUUGAGAAUUGUGGUUGCCCUCCAUUGAUGAAGCUCUUGUUGGCACCAUAAAUUGGUUUUGCUUCACACUGUCUUGAUCAAGAGUGUGUGAAGCUUUUGAGAAUUGUAGUUGCCCUCCAUUGAUGAAGCUCUUGUUGGCACCAUAAAUUGGUUUUGCUUCACACUGUCUUGAUUAAGAGUGUGUGAAGCUUUUGAGAAUUGUGGUUGCCCUCCAUUGAUGAAGCUCUUGUUGGCACCAUAAAUUGGUUUUGCUUCACACUGUCUUGAUCAAGAGUGUGAAGCUUUUGAGAAUUGUGGUUGAACUUCUUUGAUGAAGCUCUUGUUGGCACCAUAAAUUGGUUUUGCUUCACACUGUCUUGAUCAAGAAUGUGUGAAGCUUUUGAGAAUUGUGGUAAUCUCUUGCUGGCACCAUAAAUUGGUUUUGCUUCACACUGUCUUGAUCAAGAAUGUGUGAAGCUUUUGAGAAUUGUCGUUGAACUCCUUUGAUGAAACUCUUGUUGGCACCAUAAAUUGGUUUUGCUUCACACUGUCUUGAUCAAAAGCGUGUGAAGCUUUCUACGAGUUGUAGUGUUUGCAUUGUUACAGAGGAGAAAUGUCUGUAGCAGAUGCAAUAAGGCUGAAUAGCUUAAUCUUCGUAUACCAUGCACUAAAGUUGUUGUUGGCUUGCAAUAAGACUUUGUUGGUGACUAUAACUCUUGUUGGGCAUAAGUGCUCCCCUAGUUGAGUUGUUAAGCUUGAGGGUUUUUGAUUAUUUGUGAAUGCUAGGAGUUCACAUGUACAAGUUGUACCACUCGUCUUCUGGUAGGUGGAAUGAAUGGUGAGUUGUUUUCAUCAUUUGGUUGGUGUGAGUUCCUUCAUCACCUUUCAUCACAUUUCAUCACCUGGUAGGUGGCACGAAUAUGAGUUCCUUCUUCACCUGGUUGGUGGCAUGAAUGGCAAGUUGCCAAAUGAUAUUAGAAUACAGGUUGUACAUUUCAUACCUGGUUGGUGGCAUGAAGGAGAGUACGGGUUGUACAUUUCAUCACCUGGUUGGUAGCAUGAAGAUGAGUUCAUUCUUCACCUGGUUGGUGGCAUGAAUGGCAAGUUGCCAAAUGAUAUUAGAGUACGGGUUGUACAUUUCAUCACCUGGUUGGUGGCAUGAAGGAGAGUACGGGUUGUACAUUUCAUCACCUGUUUGGUGGCAUAAAGAUGAGUUCCUUCUUCACAUUUCAUCACUUGGUUGGUGAGAAUAAGGGCAAGGUGUCGAGGCAUAUUGUAGCAAGUGUCGAAUGACACAAAGUAUGUUGAACACUUUCGAAACACAGUUGGCUUAUGUAUGAAUGUGUUGGAAUGUAUGAUUGAACGAAUAUACUGUGAAGCUGUUUGUUUAUUUGUAUAGUCUUGUUGACAUAUACUUAGACUUUGUUUCAUGUUGGAAGCAUUCAUGUUGAAGCUUUGAACCCGAGUGUUUCAUUGCUAGGAAAGUAAGAGGAUUAUGACCGAGUUGUGUAAAUCACCUCUUUAUUGAAUUCAUGCCAAAUAGUCUUCGUUACAUAGGAUGCCGAACGGCUGAAGCUUAACACUUGUACAAUGUGAUUUUACUUGUAAUAGUACUUCAAGUGAUCAGCGUUCCAUGGAUGGCCAAGGGUCUUGCCAUUGGAGCUUUUAAGCUUGUAGGAGCCAGGGCGACUGAUGCCAACAACUUCAAACGGUCCAUCCCAGUUUGAACUAAGUGUUCAUUCACUCGGGACUCUGUCGCAGAGUAAUCUUUUCUUCAAUACCCAGUCCCCCACUUUGAAAGAACGAGGUUUGACCCUUGAGUCAUAGUAGUUGGCGAUGCGCUGCUUGUAGGCAACAUUCCUCAAGUGAGCUUGGUUUCUGUGUUCCUCGACUAGAUCUAAGUUGAGGGUAAGUUGUUUGUCAUUUUCGCUUUGCACGUAGUUCUGGACUCGGAAUGUUGCUUGCUCAAGCUCAACUGGGACAACUGCCUAUGUACCAAAGGCAAGCGAGAAUGAGGUUUCUCCUGUUGAUGUCCGAUACGAAAUGCGGUAUGACAAAAAAACUUUGGGUACAAAUUCUGGCCAACAACCUUUAGCCUUGUCCAAGCUGGUUUUCAAAGUUUGCUUGAUUAUUUUGUUGAUGGCUUCGACUUGUCCAUUAGACUGGGGAUGAGCUGGGGAGGCAAAACAUAAGUUGAUGUUGAACUUAGAGCAGAACAUCCUGAACUUAUUGUUGUCGAACUGUCGCCCGUUGUCAGUGACUAUCGCAUUGGGAAUGCCGAAUCUGCAAAUGAUGUUCUUCCAUACGAAGUCUUCUAUUUUUGCCUCAGUAAUUGUUGCCAAGGGUUCUACUUCAGCCCACUUUGUGAAGUAGUUAACUGCAACGAUUGCAUAGCGAACCUUGCCCUUCCCUGCAGGCAUUGGGCCGAUCAAAUCAAGUCCCCAUUGGGCGAAGAGCCAAGGGCUGAUCAUAGGAGUGAGCGGCUCGGGAGGGGAGUGAGGAAUAGUUGCGUAGCGUUGACACUUAUCACAUGAGCGAGAUAUUCUGAUGGCAUCUUGGUGGAGUGUUGGCCAGUAAUAUCCUUGGCGAAAAGCUUUGUGUGCUAGGGAUCGAGAUUCAGCAUGAUCUCCGCAGACUCAUUCAUGUAUUUCCCGAAGGACAAUUUUCGCCUCCGCGGGGGUAAGGCAUCUUAGAUAUGGUAGGUUAAACCCCGUUUGUAGAGUUUGUCAUUAAUGAUCAAGUAACGGGUAGCCUUGUAUCGAAUCUGCUUAGCUUGGACUUUAUCGUUUCGGAGGGUACCAUACGCAAGGAAUUUAUAAAUCGGGGUAAUCCAACUAUCCCCCUAUUGUAAGUUGCACACUUCUGUGGCCAUGAUGCUUGGUGCUGCCAACAAUUCGACCUAAAUUUUUCUCCCAAUUUUGUCUUCCACUGCUGAGGCGAGGCGAGCCAAAGCGUCUGCAUGACUGUUUGCCGCUCGAGGAAUUUGGGUGAUCUGGUAGUGGAAGUGCUUGAGCAACAAUUGUGUUUGUGCCAUAUAUGCUGCCAUGGAGCUAUCCUUAGCGUCAAAGUUGUUGGUGACCUGGUUAACCACCAAUUGUGAGUCACUGAAGAUAUCAAUUCGUUUAACCCCAAGGUGUUUGGCCAAACGUAAGCCUGCUAGAAGGGCUUCAUAUUCAUCAUCAUUAUUCGAUGCCUUGAAUUUGAAACGAAGAGCAUACUUCAUUGCCACUUUGUCAGGGGUCAUAAGGACUAGUCCUGCUCCACAACCCUGUUGGUUGGACUAGCCAUCAACAUAUAUACUCCAUGCUGGGGUUGUUGGUUCUAUUUUCUGAACUUCCGAGGGUAAUGAAACCACUUCUUUAGGCGUAGAAACAAUGUCAACAGGAUAUGUGAAGUCGCCGAUGAAGUCUGCCACUGCUUGGCCCUUCUCAGCUGGCUUUGGUUGGUAGGAGAUGUCAAACUCACCCAAUGCUAUCGUCCAUUUGAUUAUUCUCCCCGAAGUGUAUGGACUUUAGAGUAUCUGUCGGUGAGGAUGAUUGGUAAGCACGAUGAUGGAGUGUGCUUGGAAGUAAGGGCGAAGUUUUCGAGCAGACAUGACCAAUGCUACAGCCAAUUUCUCAAUGUUGGAGUAUCGUGUCUCCACAUCUUAUAAGGCCUUGCUAGCGUAGUAGACAGGCCGUUCGACAUUACCAUCCUUUCGAAUAAGAACGAAACUUAUUGCUGAAGCCGAUACCGAUAGAUAGAUAAUGAGAGUGUCACCAACCUCAGGUUUGGCAAGCAAAUGGGCUUUACUCAUGUAGUCCUUGAGGUUCUUGAAUGCCUCGGCACAUUCAUCAGUCCAUGUAAUGUACUUCUUACUUCCUUUAAGUGCUUUGAAGAAAGGAGCAUAUCUGUCUGUGGCCUUAGAGAUGAACCUAGUUAAGGCUGCCACCUUGCCAGUAAGGCUCUAGAUGUCUUUUGAAGCCUAAGCCGAAGGCAUGCCGAAAGCACAUUUGUUGGGGUUCAACCUCAUUCGAUACCUCUUCAGAAUGGUGAAAGUUUCAGAUAGGUUAGUGAUGUGUUGGUCAGCAUGUUUGCUCUUGACUAGCAUAUCAUCAACGUAAAUUCCAUGCUCUUCCCAAUCUGUUCGGCGAACAUUGAAUUGACUAGUCUCUGAUAAGUCGCUCCUGCAUUCUUUAGGCCGAAGGGCAUGACUUUAUAGCAAUAUAGUCCCCUGUCAGUAGUGAAGGUUGUGUGUUCUUGGUCUGGAAGGUUCAUGAGGAUUUGGUUAUAUCCUGAGUAAGCAUCCAUGAAGCUCAGGAGUUCACACCCUGCCGUAGAGUCUAUAAGUUUGUCAAUGAGAUGAAGAGGAAAGAUAUCCUUCGGGCAUCCUUUUGUUUAGGUCGGUGUAGUCGACACACAUUCUCCACAAGACCUUUUGGAGCAGGAGACUUUCUUUGGUCAGAUUUUUCUUAACAAGGACCACAUUUGCUACCCAUGUUGGAUAAUUGACUUCGCGGACGAAGCCUAUGCCUUUGAGUUUUUCAACUUCUGCCUUCAUUGCUUCGUAUCGUUCAUCGUCAUAAAAUCUUCGCUUCUGUCUCACCGGCUUGGUCUUGGGGUUAAUACUCAAGCGAUGACAUAUGAUAUCGGGAGAGAUGCCUGGCAUGUCCUCAUAUGACCAGGCGAAGACCUCAGUGUUCUCUUGCAAAAAAGAGAUCAAUGCCAACUGAAUGGGUGGUGACAAGGUGGUGCCAAUCUUCACUAUACGAUCUGGAUAAUCUUUUGAGAUAGAAACCUUCUCCAACUCUUUAGCGGGUUGUGUUUGUUGGGUGAAAGAGUCAUCUCGAGGAUCGUCGGGUUAACUGUUGCCACCGUGAAGAUCCAAGUUGGCUUCGUCUGAGCUGGUCUUUAUGACUUGGUCAUGUAUAGAAAGGGUUUCCUUGGGCACAGACAUGUGAUGUUGCUUGACCGAGGUGUUGUAACAUGAUCGUGCACUAAGUUGAUCUCCUCUGAUGUAACCAUUGCCAUAAGGGGUUGGAAAUUUCAUCAACAACAUAUGUGUGGAUACCAUGGCCUUGAGGUCAUUGAUGCAUGUGCGUGCAAAGAUGACAUUGUAUGUCGUUAGACAAUCAACCACCAGGAAGUUAGUGGUAAUGGUAGUUGUGUAAGGGCCUGUACCAAUGGUGAAAGGUAAGUGUAUACUCCCUAAAGGUUGCAUGAUAUCAAUGGAGAAGCUUAUCAGAGGAGAAAUCGAGUGAUCGAGCAAGUGUUCAGCUACAUUAAGUGCCCUGACAGUUUCAGCAAACAUGAUAUUGACCGAAGCCCCCAUGUCUACCAGGAUUCGUCGUACUUCAAAGUUGGCUAUGUGAGCUUCCACGAUCAGUGGGUCGUUGUGAGGGUAGAUGAUACCUCUUUCUUCCUCAGGGUAGAAACAUAUUGGAUCCUAGUUAUGCUUUUGAUACUUGCCUCCUCUGAUGUCUUCCACAUGAAACACUUGGUGGCUAGGCCUUAAAGCUCGUUCGCUGUUUUUCAUGGCCUAUUGGAAGAUUCAGAUAUGGGUGUGCCACCGCUUAUGGAAUAUAUCACAUUCACUUGGCGUUGGUUACGGUUAUCCCUUGAAGGGUGAAUGAGGAAUCGAUCAAUUUUUCCUUCACGCGCCAAAGCUUCAAUAUGAUUACGAAGAGUGAUACACUUCUCGCCGUCAUGGUCGUUAUGCUCAUGGUAGCAGCAAAACAUGCCCGUGUUCUUCGUGGGCAUGUAACUCGACUGCCUCGGUAUUGGCUUCGGUAUCAAGUGUGCUAUACUGGGGUAAAUGGCCACGCAUGUGGCUUUCAAAAGUGUGUAUGUCUCAUACCUCGGGGUAGGGCCUGUCCUGACACGUGCUUGGCCCACUGUGUUGACUGCCUGGGGGCGGGCAUUAUCGUGGCGAUACCCUUGGUUAUCGCGAUAGUGUCUCUUACUCCUUUUACUAAAAUGAGACUGGUGAAGAUGGAAAUCUUUCCUUUUGCCCUGAGAUUGAUAUGUCUGUUGACUUGGCGAAGUAUUAAGUAAGGCAGGGGGAGGCACUGCUGCCGUUUGGAAGGUCGAGGUCUUCUCAUUUGGUUGGAUCUGGCUUCCACUCCCUACUUGCUGAUAAGGGGUGGCUGUGGGGGGUUUUCCUUGAUAUGCCAUUGCCUCGACGGAGGCAUGGUUAUAAGCCUGCGCCAUCACCUCAGAGUAAGUCUUCCAAGUGUUGGCAUUGAUCAUGUAUUUAAAGAAUCAGUCAUGUAGGCCUACCGUGAAGGCUUUGAGGGCAGUCUUGUCGUCUGCCCUGGCACAACGGGAAUACUCAUGGCUGAAACGGCCAGCAUACAUAUGUAAUGACUCGUCUGGCUUCUGGCGAAUAGUGUACAAGUCAUCCGCAGAGUGCAAGCGAUCAGUCUGGAAAAUGUGUUGAGAAACAAACAAUUUCCUCAAUUCCUUAAAUGAGUCUACUGUCUCAGGUGGAAGAUGGUUAGAGCUCCGCCAGAGAGGGUGGAGGGGAAGAGAAGACAUCGCUCUUCGUCGGUGUCACGCCCCGUCCCAAAAACAAUAUAUUUCGAGAAUUAAUUAUGAUAGGCCCAACUUAAAAAUGUAGAUAAUUUUAUUUCUUUUAAUCACAUCCCUCUAAGUCAAUAUUACUCUCUGUUACCAGCUAUCCAUAUUUUCUUAAAUGUCAAACAUCUCUUUAAGUAAACACUAAUUCUCGAUUGUUUAGUCUCACUUAUUUUAUGGCUGCGUCUAACGUCUCGUUAGACUGCCUACGUACCCUAAACAGGGAUCAAGCCAUUCGUAGUUCACAAAUUCAAAUUCAAUUGAAUUAUGAUAUUCUUACACAUAAUUAACAAUCACCAACUAGCUUCAUACAAGUGUAUCACAUUGAAUGCUUAUUUAACUUGAAUCUAGAACAUCAAAAUUAGCGUAAGAAUACGGCGUUGACUCCCUGGCCACGCGCCGCCGCCGGUGGCGGUCGGCCGUCCCUACUUGCCGCAAAUUUCAACUAUUUUUAAAAAUUCUCAAAAAUUACAGAAAUGAAGAUCUCAAAGAGUAGAGCAAACUUUAUACCUGUGGCCAAGCCCAAUUUGGCCUGGAAAGGCUCCAAUUUGCCUCAAACACGCCGGUACCCUAGAAUUUGGGUGUCCUCGACUCGACUCCAUAGCAGCUCCGACGCCCCAAACCUUGUUUGGGCUUUGUUCCUAGGUUCUCAAGGAACAUGUUGGUGGUGGUAAUUGAAAGAGUUUGUUUCAGAUUUGGUGGAUCGCCACCUAUGAACUCACGCACCCACCGGUGUGGUUUUGCACAGUUUCAAGGCCAAUAACUAUCUAAUUUAUGAUAGAAUCAGUCAAGGGGAGGUCAUGGAACAUUUUUAAGGUGGUUUGGUAACAUAAUUCGUCAAAAAACCCGACGAAAAGCCACCGGAGGAGGUGGAGAAAAUCGGGUCGGGUCGAUAGCAUAGAACCGGCUCUAAGGAUCCGGUGCACUUCCUUCCUCUCCUUUCCCCUCCUUUCUCUCUUCUCUCAUUGGUCACUCUCACAUCCCCCCUUUCCUGAUUGGCCCUUCUCUCCCUCAUUUCUCUCCUUUAUCGUCCAUCUCCACCGCCUAACUUUUCUUACUUUUAAUCUGGGCCACACACGUGGCCUUCCGGAUUUGGCUCCAAAAAUCUGGAGCAUUCUAGAAAUGAUAAAUUUACAAUUUUACCCUCGACUUUAAACGUUAAUAACUUCCUCGUUAUAACUCCAUUUCACGAACGGUUUACGCCCACGCGUUCGUGAGGUCAAGCUCUAUUCAAAAAUAUAAAUUGUGACCUCAAAAGGUUCUAUGAAUUUUAAAUAGUUAAUUUCCAAAUUGUAAACCUCGUAACUAGUUUAAUUUAAAACUAAACUUACACAAAUUAUUAUAAAUUCUUGAAAAAUCAUAUAAAAGCUCAAUAAUACAAAUAUGUAGAUUAUUAUAAUUUUUGGAAACAAAACUUUAAAAGUUCUCAAUUUUAAAAGUUCUCGAUUAAAUUCUUCAUAAUCAUAAAUCGAUUUAUUUUCGAUUUUCUCCACAUACUCAUAUAUUUAAAUUUUUCAGGGUAUUACAGUCGGUGUGCAUCCGGUAUGCCAUGGUGGACUCAAAGAGGUUAAGGUGUUCAAUCGGGUCCUCUUUUACAGUAUAGAGUUGCAAGCCAAGCUUCUGCUUUGUCUUUGCCUGGAGGGGGUGUCGAGGAUCCUCCUUAUAAGAGGGCCAGGUCUAGGUUGGUUCUAAUCAGGUAUCUCAGCUUGUCGUUCGGCCCUCAACUUGUUUACUUCCUUAAGGAGUUGUAGGACAAGAAGGUCCUGAGUGGAGUCAUGUACCACUGGAGCUUUCUUUCGUAAAUCUCCAUCUCCUCUUGAGAGUAGGAAGGUUUGAUCAAGAGCAUGUGAUUUUUCCCUGGACUCGCCGUACUAACUUCCAAGGUAUGUCUGUCGGAACAUCUCUGAGUCCCCUCUACCUUCGUGUUUCUCUAGGACUUGUUGCCCCUUCCCCAAAUUGGUAGCCGGCCUGGGACAUGGAAGGGGAUCGAGUCUUUCAGAGACCCUUGGGUCAUUGAUCUUCGAGCUUACAUGGAUGGGAUUGUCUCGACGUUGCUUUAGGAAGUCUCGACAGUCGCGAAAGACGACUUUCGAUCUUUCCACUCCUUCUGUAAGGAUGUGCCUUCCUCCACUCCUCCUGCUUCGGGUCGAAGCAGCUGGGUUGAGAGAAGUCUCAUGUUGGUCGCCAUUUUGAUGAGUAGCUCGCUCCUCAACAAGAAUACCCAUGUCGAAGGCAAAUAACCCUCCAUGUUGAGGGGCACCCAGUUGAUGGUUGACUUCCACAUGGGUGAUGAGCUCGUGUGUUUUAGUAUAUCUAGCCUCGUGGAGCAUCUUAAAGACCUUCUCAUACUGCUCUUAGAGGAUCUCAUUCUUCAUCGCUUCUUUCGUUGCUUCGCACCAGGUGCAAGAGAGGUGUCAUUCUGUGUGUUGUGGCUUCCUUCACUCCCCAUGUUGGAAAGGGAUGCCUGGUCAAAAAAUAGUGUACGAAUGGUGGAAACCAGCUUAAAAAAGCUGAAGAGAGUGGGAAUAAGUGUCGUUCCCACAGACGGCGCCAAAUGUUGAUGCACAAAAUCAGCGAGGACUUUGGUACAACAGAAAGUGUUAAGUUUGUGACCUUCGCUAGAUUGCUCUGGUCACUAGUGUGGAUAAGUAUGUAAAUGGAUAGGGAAAGGAAAGCAAACACCAGAUGUACGUGGUUCAACCAGAUUGGCUACGUCCACGGAGUAGAAGAGUUCUCAUUAAUUGUGAGGGUUUACAUAAGUACAUAGGUUCAAGCUCUCCUUUAGUGAGUACUAGUGAAUGAUUUAGUACAAAUGACAUUAGGAAAUAUUGUGGGAGAAUGAUCUCCUUUUAUAGAAGAGAGUUUCUAGCUUUUUCUGACAUUGACACGUGUCGUGUUGUGAUUGGCUUUCGAUGUUGACACAUGUCGCGCUAUGAUUGGCUUCUGAUGUCGACACGUGUCGCGCUGUGGUUGGCCUUCUGGUUGGAGGGAAACUCUUCUAGGUCCUUGAUGGUAUAACGUUGACCGGUGCUCGGUAGUUUCGGGAUUGGUCAAGUAUGGUACAAACAGUUAGUGCUCGCUUGCAACCCAAUUUGCUGCUAUAAAGUUUUGUGUUUUACAAUAUGUUCAUGCUUAAACCUGUUCCAAUUUUGAAGGUCAAGAUGGGACACCUAUCUGGGCAAUGUUGGGAUGUCUAGGCUUGGGUAGAGAUGUGGACUUAUGGAAGUGGUGAAGUAGCUUAGCUCUAUCUCAUUAGCUCUCAUAUGUUCUGUUUAAGCUCAUUGGUGCUGGCUCUGAGGUUUUUCGAAGCUCUCCGUUUUCGAAAUCUGAAGCUUAGAAUCCCAUUCAACCACAAGGAACUAGAAUAAUUGAAAAAAAAAUGUUUUGACGUCCAAAAAGAAGCAUGUGCAAUCCUCUAAUUUUAUUAAUAUAAAAGAAGUGAUGCAAAUCCAGUAAAGAUGUAAAUAAGAGCUAUUAGUGGGAAAAAAUAGUUGUAUAAUUCCGGGCCUUGAAGAAGGCUACAAAGUAUAUGAGAAUAACGUAUCUAUAUAGUGUUUAUGUUUGUUCAUUUCUCCCUUACGGUUUUUUAUGCCUGUUAACACUUGAAUAAUGAUGCAGGUCAAUCAAGCAAAUAAGAUUCAUAAAGAAAACUCCACAUCUGUUGCCAGUAAUGCUCAUGGGCAGAAGUAUAGGAAACCAAAGCCUACAAAUAUGAAGCCUUUUAGGUUUAGAACUGAUGUAUGUGAAACUUGUUGUGACCAAUUUCUUUAAUAAGUAUUAGUAGCGUUGAUGCUUAAUAUGAUACGUUUUGGGCUUUUUUUUAGGAAAGAGGGAUGUUUAAGGAAGCAACUUUGGAGAAAAAAGCUCAUACACCACUGAAGGAGAUCACAUUAGUCAGGACUCCAGGGGCAAAGUCAACAAGCAAACAUCAGAAUGUGAUACAGGUAUACUUGGGAGCUACAAGUGCUUUGUAUGUGGUUUGAAUAUGAACAAUUACAUUGUGUAUCACCGUCAUAUAGGCAAAUUUGUUAUGUGUGAUGGUGUAUUGACACAUGACUAAAAUGGAUUAUCUAAUUUUAUGCAAUUUAUAAUUUUGGGUUUCUCUAAUUUUCUGCUUUUUUGUGAUUUAUUUGAUGAAAGUUUCAAUCUUCAGGUACAUUUUUCAUAUAUGUACUCAUCAAAUGUCACGAUUACUGUUCCUCUGGUUUUUUGGGCUACAAAUUAAAUUUUGGGGUUGUUUAAAUUUGUUUAAUUUGGUCCAAAAUUAAUUGAUUUGAUGUUCUAGGUUCUUUGUAGGCAAAACAUUGGACCAGUUGGUCAUAUUUGGAAGAGAAAACGAAGAUGGAGUUCUUGGUGUUGCAUGAAGUUGAUGUGUCCUGUCUCCAAUGGAAUAAAUUUGAUGUCACCAUCUUCAGCAUUCCUCAUGCAGACCAUUACUCUUGACUAAGUGAAAAGUACUCGGACCUUAUUGAGUAAGUCACUAAUUAUUCAUUUCAAUUAAAUGCUGAUUAUGAUAUUAUGUGUAAAUAGGAUUGUAAAUAUAUUGUACAUAAAAUUUUCAAUCUCGCAGCAACGCGCGGGCACCAUUGCUAGUUAACACUAGUCCUCAAACUCCGAAAUGCAAACUUGAAUUGUUUCGAAGAUGUGCUGAUAAAAGCAUCUUCCCCUUUGUACAUACAGUGUAUGUAGCUCCUUCGUAACUCCUCAUAUAUCUCACUGUGCCAAAACCACACAACCAAAAUUUAAUUAAAAGCAUACAUACGUGUGUGGGUGAAAACAAAUGUGAAAUUAAAGAUGAUAGGGUGCAUACCAGGCCUGUUCUUUUCUAUGGAAUGCAUCAAUUGUAGGUCACAAUUCUAUCACAACGAGAUACCCUUGUAAUAAACAAAUGCAAAGACAUGUUAAUAAAUUUGAAAACCAGCGAAGAGAAGGAGCACCAUCCGAGAGCUGGCUUAUAUGCCUCCCACUUCCUAUACACUCUCAUCCCUUUUAUUUUGGGUGGUCACGGUUAAGUCAUGUCAAUAUUUUGUAUUGAUUUUUUUAUAGAAAUAAUAAGACAAAAAGUAAUAGUAAUAUAAAAUGUUGACGUGAUUUAACCGUGACCGUACAAAUAAGAAGGGAUAAGAGUGUAUGGGAAGUGGGAGGGCAGAGAAGCUAGCUCCCACCAAUUGACGUGAGGGCUCCCCUCACGCUAUUACCGCGCUAAGCCUCCCACAAUGAAUCAAACCAUUUACUUAGGACAAUUUUUUAAAACUUUUUGUUUUCUCAUCUUUUUCUUCAUCUCAGCAAAAAUACAAGUAUACGAAAAUAACAAGGGAACUUAAACGAAAAGCUUCCGGUAAUGUUCAUUUUAACGAAAAACCACAUUUUUACACUAAAAAGUCAAUCCUGGUACUAUUCAUUUUACUCUUUAUUUUGUCCUUAUCAUUAAAACUCAAAGUUUUCAAGCCCUUUUCAUUAGUUUUCCUAAAUCCUCCUUUUUCAGUAUAUACUAUAUUAGUACAUGUUAGCCCAUUUGAUAUUAUUGUCUUCAUUUUUUUUCAUUAUAUACUAUAUUAGUAGAUUGUUGAAUUAAAAGUCCAAGUCAUCUUCAGUAUAUGCUAUAUUAGUAGAUUGCUAGCGUCUAGACAGGACCUAAGCUUCCGCUUAGAUAAAUUAGACGGUUUUAAGAAAAUUUAUUAUAUAGCUUUAUUAUAUAAAUAAAUUAUACUAGAAAAAAAAAACAAUAAAGCGUUACUAAAAAAAUAGAAAAAUAUUAUUUGCUAAUUAAUCUUGGUUAAUCACUACAACAACAACAACAACAACAACAACAAAGCCUUUUCCCACUAAGUGGGGUCGGCUAUAUGAAUCCUAGAACGUCAUUGCGCUCGGUUUUGUGUCAUGUCCUCCGUUAGAUCCAAGUACUCUAAGCCUUUUCUUAGAGUCUCUUCCAAAGUUUUCCUAGGCCUUCCUCUACCCCUUCAGCCCUGAACCUCUGUCCCGUAGUCACAUCUUCGAACCGGAGCGUCAGUCGGCCUUCUUUGCACAUGUCCAAAUCACCGGAACCGAUUUUCUCUCAUCUUUCCUUCAAUUUCGGCUACUCCUACUUUACCUCGGAUAUCCUCAUUCUCAAUCUUAUCCUUUCUCGUGUGCCCACACAUCCCACGAAGCAUCCUCAUCUCCGCUACAUCCAUUUUGUGUACGUGUUGAUGUUUCACCGCCCAACAUUCUGUGUCAUACAACAUCGCUGGCCUUAUUGCCGUCUUAUAAAAUUUUCCCUUGAGCUUCAGUGGCCUACGACGGUCACACAACACGCCGGAUGCACUCUUACACUUCAUCCAUCCAGCUCGUAUUCUAUGGUUGAGAUCUCCAUCUAAUUCUCCGUUCUCUUGCAAGAUAGAUCCUAGGUAGCGAAAACGGUCACUUUUUGUGAUCUUCGCUAGAUUGCUCCGGUCAUUAGUGUGGAUAACUAUAUAAAUGGAUAGAGAUAGGAAAGCAAACACAAGAUGUACGUGGUUCACCCAGAUUGGCUACGUCCACGGAAUAGAAGAGUUCUCAUUAAUUGUGAAGGGUUUACACAAGUACAUAGGUUCAAGCUCUCCUUUAGUGAGUACAAGUGAAUGAUUUAGUACAAAUGACAUUAGAGUACAAGUGACAUUAGGAAAUAUUGUGGGAGAAUGAUCUCGUAAUCACGAAACUUCUAAGUAUCGGAGUGUGGUAUCAUCUUGACUUGCCUUAUCUGUCUCAUAGGUAGAUGUGGCAGCUUCUCUGGAAGUACUCUUCCUCCAUCCAGGGGUGGUAUCUUUAACUUUAACUGGUGAAGAUGCACAAGGUAAUGUAUCAAUUUCACUUGAAGCUUACUUGUAGUUUCAGGCUUGGUCAAGUGCGAUACAAACCAUGUAGUAGGGGUCCCCCAAGUCGCCGAGCUAGGGGAUCUGCUGAAAGAGGUGACAGACAAGGUAAGCAAUCAGAGCUCCGGCUGAUUGUUCACCUUCUCCCCAUCUUGCAGCAGCAUGAAGGAUAAAGAAGAUAAAGAGAAGAAAAAUGAGAAGAUAUGAUAUGGGAUACUUUUGCUUUUGAAGAAGUAACUUUCCACAGGCUUAUUCUUGAACUGAGCUGGAGGGUUUUCUGGUUUCCUCCAGAGUAUAAGGCCGACUGAAGAAUUUGAGGGUCAAAACAAGUCCAUCAAAUCUAGAGUACGUUCGACCUUGCUGAUAUGGGAUACUUUUGCUUUUGACAGAGUAAUGGAUGUAUCAGCACGUGUGCUGUUACGCUUGUCUCCACAUGCUUCCUUGUAUCCUUCGCACUUGCCCUAUCUGUUCCUCAAGUAGAUGCGGUAUCUUCCCUGGAAACAUAAGGUGUUGAAGAUGAGUACUCAAGAGCAAUGCCAGGUAAGUAAUCAGGUAAGGGGUUCCAGGCAGUCAGUUCCUGGCUGGGAGCUUGAUUUCAAGUGCUGACUGAUUGCUCUCUUUCUCCUUGUCUUGCAGGUAAAAACAAGGCCAAAGGAAAAGACAGGGAAAAAGCAUGAUAUGGGAUACUCUUGCUUUUAACCCUGAUGAUAUGAGAUAUUCUUGCUCUAGUAUAGCUUGUUUGCAAAGAUAUUAUCGGGGGGGGGGGGAAAGAAAGCUGAAUAUUUCGAAAGGUUUCGUUGGGAGUGCCCUCUCAGAUAUGAGGAAUGGUUGAGCAUUUUUGCAGGUCUGCCUGUCCGUUGGGGAUGGAGGUCGACAUAUAUAGAAGUCUCCCUAACAACAAGUAGUAAUGCUAUUCCUUUACCCUGCUUGGUCAUAGCACGGUAGUGGGAGCUGCCAGCUUCACAUGUUUUAACUCUGUCAGAGCACUUUGAAAAAGUGGUAUGUGGUAUCUGGCUCUCGAGAUUCGGAGAACGAUGCUUCUUUGAUUUUUGAGAAAGCAAUCAUGCUAGGGGUCUGGCUCUCGAGAUUCGGGGAGCAGUGUCUCUUCGAUUUUUGAGAAAGUAAUCAUGUUGGGAGUCUGGCUCUCGAGAUUCGAAGGGCGGUGCCUCUUCGAUUUUGGAGUAAGCAAUCUUGUUGGGAGUGUUUUCUCGGAUGUGAGUAAAGGUUGGGCAUGUUUGCUAGUCUACCUUGCCACGAAGCACGGAGGUUGACACACAGGGAUUUUCCAAUUAUCCAGCAGUGGUACUGUUCCUUUACCCUUGUGGGUAAUAAUAUGGUAGCUAGACCUUCAAAAUUUAUGUGUCUAAACUUUGUUAGUGCUGUUUCUUUGUUAUUCUUUUACCUUUCUUGGUCAGAGCGAUGUAGUGGGAGCUGCAAGCUUUACGUGCUCAACUUUGGCAGAGACUUUGACAAAGUUAUCUGUGGUACCCAUGAGCUAUUGUUGCGUGUGGGAAGUGGGUGAUUGAACAGUAAGAUUCAUGUGCUUUCUACUUCACCAGAAGUCUUCGACAGAAUGCCCAUAAUUUCCGCAAAGCUGAGUGUGCGUGUGACAGGUGCUGACAAGGCUAGAAAAGUAGGUGCCUCUUCGAUUUCUGAGAUCGGCCAUCGUGGUCUCUGAGCAGCCCAGCUUUUGAGAAAGCGAGCGCCUCUUUGAUUGAUUCGGAAAACGAUGCCUCUUCGAUUUUUGAGAAAGCAAUUAUGCUGAGGGUCUGGCUCUCGAGAUUCGGGGAGCAGUGUCUCUUCGAUUUUUGAGAAAGUAAUCAUGUUGGGAGUCUGGCUCUCGAGAUUCGGAGGGCGGUGCCUCUUCGAUUUUGGAGCAAGCAAUCUUGUUGGGAGUGUUUUCUCGAAUGUGAGUAAAGGUUGGGCAUGUUUGCUAGUCUACCUUGCCACGAAGCACAGAAGUUGACACACAGGGACUUUCCAAUUAUCCAGCAAUGGUACUGUUCCUUUACCCUCUCUUCGAUUUUUGAGAAAGUAGUCAUGUUGGGAGUCUGGCUCUCGAGAUUCGGAGGACGGUGCCUCUUCGAUUUUGGAGCAAGCAAUCUUAUUGGGAGUGUUUUCUCGAAUGUGAGUAAAGGUUGGGCAUGUUUGCUAGUCUACCUUGCCACGAGGCACAGAGGUUGACACACAGGGACUUUCCAAUUAUCCAGCAAUGGUACUGUUCCUUUACCCUUGUGGGUAAUAAUAUGGUAGUUAGACCUUCAAAAUUUAUGGGUCUAAACUUUGUUAGUGCUGUUUCUUUGCUAUUCUUUUACCCUUCUUGGUCAGAGCGAUGUAGUGGGAGCUGCAAGCUUCACGUGCUCAACUUUGGCAGAGAACUUUGGCAAAGUUAUCUGUGGUACCCAUGAGCUAUUGUUGCGUGUGGGAAGUGGGUGAUUGGACAGUAAGAUUCAUGUGUUUUCUACUUCCCCAGAAGUCUUCGACAGAAUACCCAUAAUUUCCGCAAAGCUGAGUGUGCGUGUGACAGAUGCUGACAAGGCUGGAAAAGUAGGUGCCUCUUCGAUUUCUGAGAUCGGCCCUCGUGGUCUCUGAGGAGCCCAGCUUUUGAGACAGCGAGCGCCUCUUCGAUUUCUGAGAUCGGCUUUCGUGGUCUUUGAGCAGCCCAACUUUUGAGAAAGCAAACACCUCUUCGAUUUAUGAGAUCAACCCUCGUGGUCUCUAAGCAGCCCAGCUUUUGAGAAAGCAAACGCCUCUUCGAUUUCUGAGCAGGCGCCUCUUCGAUGUCUGAAGCUCCGUCGAGUGCAGCUUUUUAUAGGGGCUGGCAUUAAGUUCCAAAGCACACUUGAAUCUCCACCAGUAGAAGCUCCAUUCUUGCACUUCUAAGAUCUUAAUUUGUUCGACCUCUUCUCUCUUCAACACCUUUGAAAAUGUCUGGCCCCUCCGACCGUCGUUUUGACUUGAACCUUGUUGAAGAGGCAGCCCCGCCUUCUCCAGACAACAUAUGGCGCCCAUCCUUCGUCUCCCCUACUGGUCCUCUUACCGUUGGGGAUUCCGUGAUGAAGAAUGAUAUGACCGCUGCGGUGGUGGCCAGGAACCUUCUCACUCCCAAAGAUAACAGACUACUUUCCAAACGGUCUGAUGAGUUAGCUGUUAAGGAUUCGCUGGCUCUCAGUGUUCAGUGUGCAGGUUCUGUGUCUAAUAUGGCCCAACGCCUAUUUGCUCGAACCCGCCAAGUUGAAUCAUUGGCGGCCGAAGUGAUGAGUCUCAAACAGGAGAUUAGAGGGCUCAAGCAUGAGAAUAAACAGUUGCACCGGCUCGCACAUGACUAUGCUACAAACAUGAAGAGGAAGCUUGACCAGAUGAAGGAAACUGAUGGUUAGGUUUUACUUGAUCAUCAGAGAUUUGUGGGUUUGUUCCAAAGGCAUUUAUUGCCUUCGUCUUCUGGGGCUGUACCGCGUAAUGAAGCUCCAAAUGAUCAACCUCUGAUGCCUC